GAUGAACGCUGGCGGCGUGCCUAAUACAUGCAAGUCGAGCGAACAGACGAGGAGCUUGCUCCUCUGACGUUAGCGGCGGGCGGGUGAGUAACACGUGGAUAACCUACCUAUAAGACUGGGAUAACUUCGGGAAACCGGAGCUAAUACCGGAUAAUAUAUUGAACCGCAUGGUUCAAUAGUGAAAGACGGUUUUGCUGUCACUUAUAGAUGGAUCCGCGCCGCAUUAGCUAGUUGGUAAGGUAACGGCUUACCAAGGCAACGAUGCGUAGCCGACCUGAGAGGGUGAUCGGCCACACUGGAACUGAGACACGGUCCAGACUCCUACGGGAGGCAGCAGUAGGGAAUCUUCCGCAAUGGGCGAAAGCCUGACGGAGCAACGCCGCGUGAGUGAUGAAGGUCUUCGGAUCGUAAAACUCUGUUAUUAGGGAAGAACAAAUGUGUAAGUAACGAUGCACGUCUUGACGGUACCUAAUCAGAAAGCCACGGCUAACUACGU
rnacentral:rRNA from 1 species